GGUUUGGCGCGCGGCUGUGACAUCACGGACGGGGCGCGGGGCGGGCGCCGAACUUCCCGGCCCGCGGCGAUGCCCAAGCGGGGCUGCCCCUUCGGGGACGCGGCCCCGCUACAACUCAAGGUCCGAGUGGGCUGGAGGGAGCUAGGCCGCGGCGUGUACGCCGAGCGCUACUCGCAGGAGAUCUUCGAGAAGACCAGGCAGCUUCUUUUUCGCGGGGCCCAGGCCUACAUGGACCACGUGUGGGAGGAAGGCUGCGCCAUCGUUGACCUGCCGGAGUCCCCGAAACCUGGCCCCACAGAAGCCCCGCGGGCUACACAUGGGCAGAUGCUGAUUGGACCUGACGGCCGGCUGACCAGGAGGCGAGCGCCAGCCUGUGAAGCUGACACAUCCGGGCCGGUGUCCAGAGCCUGCUCCUCGUGCGUGCGAGCUGUGGACGGGUCAGCGGCAUGCGGCCAGUGUGAGCGCGCCCUGUGUGGGCGGUGUGUGCGCACCUGCAGUGGCUGUGGGGCCGUGGCCUGUGCCCUGUGUUCCCUCGUGGACUGCAGUGACAUUCAUGAGAAAGUGCUGUGUGCCAGCUGUGCCAUGUUCGAAGCCUGAGGGCCGGGAGCGGACGGCAGCCUUGUCUGGAUGACCUCACAGGCAUCGACGCAGAGCAGCUGGGGAAGGUAAGUUCCGUGAGCAUUGAGACUUCACCAGAACAGCACCUGCUACAUUUGUUUAGGACAAAUAUUUGUUGGGCUUCCAGCAAUGGUGGAGUGCCAGGGGCUGGAUUUGUUCUCUGCCCGUAAACAGCUUUUUAAAAAAUACAAAAUAUCCAGACAUUGGACAGCAAACUGCAGGACACUGACCCUGACAGACGAGAGCACAUGAGAUGCACCUUGGGUUGCCCCAGGGUGUGGCUGAGAGAGGAGAGCUCUCGGACUGCAGCGUUGGGGGUGCGUGGGCUCAGGGGCCUCACUGAGCUGAGAAGAUGUGGCCAAGGCGGCUGGAGUUUGCACCGUCGGACGCUGGAGUGGAGGCCGCACCGGAAGAAGGAGCCCCUGAAGGCUCACGUGUAUGCAGAGACCGCCUGGAGCUGGGGCCACUGGGAGGGAACCGGGCACAAGCCACCCCACAACCCAAGUGGAGAGGCCUCGGCACUCACGGGCAUGCCUCAGUCGUGACGCCCACUUCCCCCGAAAGAUGGCUCUGUGCCUUCCUAACAGGAUUUAAAAUUGAGUCUCAAAAAGACCAAACUGUUUCAAGUAAUGUAAUAUCAUCCCAGAGCAAAGCUCAAAAAUAAAACUUUUAAUCCAGUAAGAUAAAAUUUACAAUGUUUACUGUCCGAUAAGAAAAAUCACCAGACAUGUAAAGAAGCAGGGAAAUACAAUGCACAGGGAGAAGGAAAAUCAGACCCAGAAAUGGCACAGGUGGCAGAUUAGACGAAAACAUCAGAAGUGCUGUGGUAAGUACAUUCCACAUGCUCAGAAAGGCAGAGGAGAAGAGCAUGUUAAGGGAAGACAUGAAGGACAUAAAAUGACCCACACAAUUACAGAGAUGAAAAUACUGUGUCAGAGAUGGAAACGGUCCUGGCCUGAGCUGAGCAGCCGCUGAGCUGCCAACAGCAGGGUGGCUCAGCUUAAAAAAAAAAAAAAGAGCUGGAAAAGGAAAUAGACUGGAUGAGAUUAAAGGCAGAUAAGAGUGCGAAGAAAAUGUUAGUGAACUUGAAGAUAUGGCAAUGGAAACUGCCCAAACUGAAACAGAAAAUACUGGGAACAAGUGAGUGGAGCUCCAGUGCACUGAACUGUGAGACCCUCAAGCCACCUGACGUGCCUGUGGGUGGCGGCCCAAGGGCAGGGGAAACUUUGGAGGAAAAGAAUGCUGAGAAAUUUCCAAAUUUGAUGUAAACCCACAGGUCUAGAAGUUCAAGCAACCCUAAAUGAAAGAAACGUGGAGAAAAUUACAUGAAAGCACAGCCUGAUGAAUUCCUCAAAACCACUGUGAUGAAAGAAAACUCUUAAAAGCAGCCAGAGAAAAGACAACUUGGCAUAUCAAGGAACAAAGGUAACUAUGGCAACAGACUUCUCUUCAGAAACUAUGCAAGCCAACAGUGGAACACCUUUAAAUUUAGUUUUGAAAGCAAAAAAAUCUAUCAACUUAGAAUUCUAUACCCAGUGAAAAUACCUUUCAAAAAUGCAGGUGAAGUAAAGAGUUUUUCAGACAUGCAGAAGCUGAAAGAAUUUCAAGAAAUAUCAAAAGAUUUGCAGGCAGAAGGAGAAACGAUCCAGGGAAAAGGACCCUGCAGAGGUGUAGAGAGCGUCUGACUGGUCAGUACGUGAGUGAGCAGAACAGACGUUUUUCUUGUAUUUAAAAUCUUUUUCAAGGACAUUUACUGUGUAGAGAACUUCUAAAAAUCAACAACAAAACAAUUUUAAAAAUGGGCAGAGGACCUAAACAGACAUUUCUCCAAAGAGGACAUACACAUGGCCAACAGACACAUGAAAAGAUGCUCAAGGUCACUCAUCGGUCAGGGGGAUGCAAACUGAACCACAGCGCGGCAGCACCUCACAUCCACUAGGUGGCUGCUACCAAAGCAGACAGACAAAAGAAAGCUGGUGUUGGAGCCCUGCCGGUGGGGUGUGAAUGCUGCCACCAUGGGAACAAUAUGGGGGUCCGCAGAAAAUUAAGCAGAUCGCGUCCCAGCGAUCUCCCUUCUGGGUGUACACAAAGCAGGGACGUAAGGUUAUUUUUGCACCAGUGUUCAUAGAGUAUUAUCCACAUGGUCUAAAAGUGGCAACAACCCAAGUGCCCGUGGCAGAUGAGUGGAUGAGCUGAUGUGGAGUUAUGCACACGCUGGGACGUCACCCAGCCCUAAAGAGGAUGGACACCCUGACACCGGCUACGGCACACAUGGACCUUGAGGACAUCACGCCUAGUGAAAUAAGGCAGACACAAAGGGACAAAUCCUGUGUGACCUACGCAUCCGAGGUCCCUGGAGAAGUCAGGUCCAGAGACAGGAAGUAUUGUAGAUGGUGGUGCGGGGGCUGGAGCGGGGGGAGAGGGGGACUUAGUGUUUAAUGGGGACAGAGGUUCUGAUUGGGACGAUGAGAAAGUUCUGGAGACAGAGGGUGGGGAUGGUUGCAUGACAGUGAAUGUGCUUAGUGCCGCCGAACUGUGCACUUAAAAUUGGUUAAAGUGGUAAAUUUUACAUAUGUUUUACCAAUAAAACGUAUCCAGAUGUUUAAAAGACAAGUAACUAUUGAAAGCUAAAAUAAUAAUGUAUUUGGGGGGUUUUGACAUAUGUGGAAAUAAAAUUCAUGAAAGUAGUGCAAA